CUUCUGGUGGAUCUGAAAACCCACAAAGUUUUGGUCAGUUAGUCUUUGACAAUGGAGGAGAGAACACACAAUGGAGUAAAGACAAUCUCUUCAGCAAAUAGUGUUGGGAAAACUGGACAGGUGCAUGUAAAUCAAUGAAGUUAGAAU